rnacentral:hammerhead_ribozyme from 1 species
AUACAGCUGGCGAGUCCCAAGCAGAACGAAACAUGAGUCCUGUAU